GCUUAGCGUCAUACCGCGUAGAAUAAACCAGUUCUCGUCCGAUCACUGAAGUCAAACUACGACGGGCGGGGUUAGGGGUGGGUCCACUUUACGUAGGAU
rfam:Oikopleura dioica, whole genome shotgun assembly, reference scaffold set, scaffold scaffold_6